rnacentral:misc_RNA from 1 species
UUUCCGUAGGUGAACCUGCGGAAGGAUCAUUAGCGAAGCAGAAUAGCGCUGCCGCAAGGCGGUCGCUAAUUCUCACAACACCAUGUGAACUUGGACAGCUGGGCCUCCGGGCCCGGUCUACCUAAAACCGUUGACAAAUGCAUAAUUACUUGUGAAUUGACAACCAAACACACAACUUUUAACAAUGGAUCUCUAGGCUCCU